GACGAACGCUGGCGGCGUGCCUAAUACAUGCAAGUAGAACGCUGAAGAGAGGAGCUUGCUCUUCUUGGAUGAGUUGCGAACGGGUGAGUAACGCGUAGGUAACCUGCCUUGUAGCGGGGGAUAACUAUUGGAAACGAUAGCUAAUACCGCAUAACAAUGGAUGACACAUGUCAUUUAUUUGAAAGGGGCAAAUGCUCCACUACAAGAUGGACCUGCGUUGUAUUAGCUAGUAGGUGAGGUAACGGCUCACCUAGGCGACGAUACAUAGCCGACCUGAGAGGGUGAUCGGCCACACUGGGACUGAGACACGGCCCAGACUCCUACGGGAGGCAGCAGUAGGGAAUCUUCGGCAAUGGGGGCAACCCUGACCGAGCAACGCCGCGUGAGUGAAGAAGGUUUUCGGAUCGUAAAGCUCUGUUGUAAGUCAAGAACGAGUGUGAGAGUGGAAAGUUCACACUGUGACGGUAGCUUACCAGAAAGGGACGGCUAACUACGUGCCAGCAGCCGCGGUAAUACGUAGGUCCCGAGCGUUGUCCGGAUUUAUUGGGCGUAAAGCGAGCGCAGGCGGUUUGAUAAGUCUGAAGUUAAAGGCUGUGGCUCAACCAUAGUUCGCUUUGGAAACUGUCAAACUUGAGUGCAGAAGGGGAGAGUGGAAUUCCAUGUGUAGCGGUGAAAUGCGUAGAUAUAUGGAGGAACACCGGUGGCGAAAGCGGCUCUCUGGUCUGUAACUGACGCUGAGGCUCGAAAGCGUGGGGAGCGAACAGGAUUAGAUACCCUGGUAGUCCACGCCGUAAACGAUGAGUGCUAGGUGUUGGAUCCUUUCCGGGAUUCAGUGCCGCAGCUAACGCAUUAAGCACUCCGCCUGGGGAGUACGACCGCAAGGUUGAAACUCAAAGGAAUUGACGGGGGCCCGCACAAGCGGUGGAGCAUGUGGUUUAAUUCGAAGCAACGCGAAGAACCUUACCAGGUCUUGACAUCCCGAUGCUAUUUCUAGAGAUAGAAAGUUACUUCGGUACAUCGGUGACAGGUGGUGCAUGGUUGUCGUCAGCUCGUGUCGUGAGAUGUUGGGUUAAGUCCCGCAACGAGCGCAACCCCUAUUGUUAGUUGCCAUCAUUCAGUUGGGCACUCUAGCGAGACUGCCGGUAAUAAACCGGAGGAAGGUGGGGAUGACGUCAAAUCAUCAUGCCCCUUAUGACCUGGGCUACACACGUGCUACAAUGGUUGGUACAACGAGUUGCGAGUCGGUGACGGCAAGCUAAUCCCUUAAAGCCAAUCUCAGUUCGGAUUGUAGGCUGCAACUCGCCUACAUGAAGUCGGAAUCGCUAGUAAUCGCGGAUCAGCACGCCGCGGUGAAUACGUUCCCGGGCCU
rnacentral:rRNA from 1 species